CACCAGGAGCAGCCCCUGAAGGGCGCAGACGGCCAGGGCGGCGCUCGGGCCGGGCAGCAUCGCCGGUGGCUGCGGUAUUCCCUUGCGAGGCGCGGGAGGAAAGGUCCGAAAGCCGGGAUGAGUUUUCUUUCCAGCAACAAAGCUCCUGGAUUUCCUGUUGCUGCUGCCUGGGAUGGGGCAAAGAAACGAGCCGAGUUGUUCCCCGCUGCUUCCCUGCAUUGCCUGUCCCUGGAGCUGCGUGAGCAUCAGCAAUGGAUAAAGCAACUCCCUUGGUUUGAACCAAAGGACUCCAGCUCCCCUUUCAGAGCACCCAAACUGCGUGAUCCACAGGCUGCAAGAUUCCCUGGUGACCGACAGAACAUCCUGGAAAAACACCCAAAGCCUAAACAAAACAGGCUCCUGUGAGCUAAAUACAGGGAUACACAGGAAAAGCUUUUAAUCUUGGAUAGACAGUCAGAAUUGUCCUGCCUUCCUCUCCCAGAAAAUAAAAAGAGAAUCCUAUAAACCGUAUUUUACUGUCCAAGACAUUGUCUGAUGAAUGAGAAUGGGAGAGGGGAAGUAAGAGAAGAGGGAAGACCUUGAGAAAGGAUGCAAUCCUAGGCUUGGCUUUAGGACAUGAAUACAAAAUGCGCCUCACUCUCAUGGAAAUAGAUAAAGUUUCUCUAGGAAAAAUGUAGAUGAGCAGCAUCAGCAUUGCAUUUAAUUGUCUUUCCUCUGUUUUGGACAAUUGUUUUUGUGGGGCUCAGUGAUAACUGAUAGAAAUCUCACCUCUGGCAGAACAAUGUACAGUGUUAAAAAUGUAAAUCCCACAGAACUAAAAGCACCUAGAAACAGCUCUAUAAGGGCCAGAGAGUGAAGCUCUGUCUGUGGAGAUGUGCUCAGGCUACAGGUUAUCUUUGGGGCAUUUGGAAGAAGUUUUGUCCUUUUGCACCUCCCUGCAGAUCCCAUGCUGAGCAGACCUUGGCCAACUCCAAGCCCUGAAGAGAGGUAUCUAGGAUCCCCCUGCAUUCAAUCAUACAUCCCAAAUUUCCUUAUCAUCCUCACACACCCAAGCUUGUUUUGAGUCUUUCUCUGACCGUUUGGUUCAAGUCAGCUUAUGAUAAGAAGGAAAAAUCUCUUUAUCCUGAGUCUAUCCCUGUUUAAGAAACAAGCAGGGGAUUUCAUAAGGAGCAAGGAGAGAUUGUGCAGGGAGGGGAGCAGGGAGAAGGCUGACCCCAAAUAAAGCCUGUUAUUAUCUUACUGUCAUCUUACAGAAGAACAUGAAUGUACUACUGACAGGAGCCCCACACCACAGACUGGGAGAGACCCCCAGGAAAAGUCAGGACUGUUGCAGGAAUGUGUGGUAGGACGCAUCCUAAACAUCCUACCUUGCAUGAGGGACCUUCUCAGCAGGACCCAACCGGCGGUCCUGCCCCUGGGGUGCUGCAUCACCAGGGUACUUGAUGAGGCCUCAUCCAGCAACUUGAGGACUCUGUUCUGCUGCACAUCACCUGAGCACUGCCUGGGAAGGAGAGAGCCUGAACUCAGUCCAGUAUCCUGUGUGCUUGUAACUCAGCAGGGUCAGCAUGGCCAAGGUGCAAGAAGUGUAUGGGAAAACCCAACCCUUUGGUUCCCAUUGCCAAUGAGCUGAGAAGGGAAGCAAAUGUACCAACAUAUCCUCU